AUUAUUCCCAUAUUCAUAUAUCAAUCACCACCAAAAGAUUUUAGGAAAAAUUCUCGAAACAAACCCGAACUAUUUAAAAUCUGCCAGAAAACUACCUGAACUUUUUUCGUUGUCAAAAAAAUAUACAAACUAAUUUGGGUUAGAAAUAAAAAACACAAUCUAUUAUUUUUUUCCGAUUACCUCCCUUUGCCGUAACGGCCGUUAACGGCGUUAACCAAAUCGGUUAACAUUUUCAAUUUUAUUUAUAGAAAAUUUCUGGAAAAAACAUAACUUAUUUAAUAUUUGCCAAAAUAAUACCCGAACUUUUUUUCGCUGCCAGAAAUAUAUACAAACUAGUUUAAAGUUGAAAUAAAGAGUAUGAAGUAGUUUUUUGUUCCAAUUUCACUCACUUUGUCGUAAUGGUUACAAAAAGGUAACAAAAU
rnacentral:sRNA from 1 species